GGGUCAUAGCUCAGUGGUAGAGCAUCUGCCUUGCAAACAGAGGGUCUCAGGUUCAAUCCUUGGCAUCUCCA